rnacentral:rRNA from 1 species
UACGGAGGGUGCGAGCGUUGUCCGGAAUCAUUGGGCGUAAAGGGCGCGUAGGCGGCCCGGCAAGUCGGAUGUGAAAUCCCGGGGCUCAACCCCGGGCCUGCAUCCGAUACUCCCGGGCUGGAGGCAGGUAGGGGAGAUCGGAAUUCCUGGUGUAGCGGUGAAAUGCGCAGAUAUCAGGAGGAACACCGGUGGCGAAGGCGGAUCUCUGGGCCUUGCCUGACGCUGAGGCGCGAAAGCGUGGGGAGCAAACAGG